rnacentral:rRNA from 1 species
GAUGAACGCUGGCGGCGUGCCUAAUACAUGCAAGUCGAGCGAACAGACGAGGAGCUUGCUCCUCUGACGUUAGCGGCGGACGGGUGAGUAACACGUGGAUAACCUACCUAUAAGACUGGGAUAACUUCGGGAAACCGGAGCUAAUACCGGAUAAUAUAUUGAACCGCAUGGUUCCAUCGUGAAAGACGGUUUUGCUGUCACUUAUAGAUGGAUCCGCGCCGCAUUAGCUAGUUGGUAAGGUAACGGCUUACCAAGGCGACGAUGCGUAGCCGACCUGAGAGGGUGAUCGGCCACACUGGAACUGAGACACGGUCCAGACUCCUACGGGAGGCAGCAGUAGGGAAUCUUCCGCAAUGGGCGAAAGCCUGACGGAGCAACGCCGCGUGAGUGAUGAAGGUCUUCGGAUCGUAAAACUCUGUUAUUAGGGAAGAACAAAUGUGUAAGUAACUAUGCACGUCUUGACGGUACCUAAUCAGAAAGCCACGGCUAACUACGUG